CUCCCAUGCCCUGUCUUUGCUGAGACCACCGGUUUUAACAACAAUGAAAGAAAAGGGCCCUCAGAGGGAGCCAGAACGGUGCUAAGUAUUUUUUUUUUUUUUAUAAAAAGUAGUGUUUCUAAUCCUCACAAUGUAUGCCUCAGUAAGAAAGGUGAGGUUCAGAGAGGGUAAGUAACUUCUCUAAGGUUACACAGCUAGACACUAGAGCCAGGUUUUCAGUUACUGGUCCGUCUGACUCCAGAACCUUCCGUUGUGGUUUGUGUUAUUUAUUUUGGCUACGGCUCCUAGAGCUCUCUGUGGCAUAUGUUUUUUAGAUCGAGGGGCAACGUGCUAGUGUGAAGUGUACAUCUCGACAACUCUUUGCAUGUGUGCACGCCCAUGUAACCACCACCCAGAGCAAGAUACAUUUCCAGAAGGUUCCUCAUGCUCCUUCCAGCUACUCGCUAUUCUGACCUCUAUCAGCAUUGAUUAGUUUUUCCUGGGAGGAGCGGCGUGGAACCCCUUCUCUCGCUGAGGCAAGGAGGAAGACAGGAGGAUUUCCGUGUGGGGAGGAGCUGCUCAUGGCAACAUCGGAGGGGGAGCCUCCACAGGCAGUGGGGAGGGAGCGUUCAUACGGUGCACGGUCCCACCGGGUCUCCGCACGCUACCGUGAGGUAGGCAGCGAAGCGAGGAGAGUUUGAAUCGGAUGCACAAAGCCAUGCGCCCAAAGCGACACGGCAAGUUAGUGGUGGAUCCGGAGGCCUGGAGUCUCCUGGCGUCUUGGUCAGUGCACGUAUCUCCCCCGACAACUUUGCUUUAUAAUGCGGCUCUGGAUUUUUGUGCUCCCCUACGUAUAACAUUAUUCCCAGCAGCCAAAAGGUGGAGGUAACCCAGGUGUCCAUGGGGGAUGGUUGAGUGAAUGAAUGACAAAUGUACGUGCGACGGAAUAUUACUCAGCCUUAAUAAGGAAGGACGUUUUGACCCAGGCUACAACAUGGAUGAACCAUGAGGACGUUCAGGUACCUGGAGUAAUCAGGUGCAUAGAGACAGAAAGUAGAAGCGUGGUGGCCUGGGGCUGGGGAAGGGGAAGGAGAAGUUCAUGUUUGACGGAAACAGAGUUUGAACCUCACAGGACGACAAGAGCUCUGGGGGUGGAUGGUGGUGAUGGCAGCAUAACCAUGUGAAUGGGCUUAAUGCCACAGAGCUGUACAUUUUCAAAUGUUAAGGUGGCAAAUUUUACGUUACAUGUACUUUGUCAAAGUUUAAAAAUUAGUUGCUGGUUUUUUUUUUUAAUUGCUGCUUCUGAGAGGAAGAUAGUAAGCCGUAACCUUUUAAAGGACGUGUAACUUUGUUUCUCAUGACUUGUAUCAGUCAGGAUAGGCUAAGUCAUACUGCUGUAACAAACAGCCCCCAAAAUCUGACUUCUGAGUCAAGCACUUGCUUCCUGCACUGUACCACCUCACACACUAAAUCAUGUACCCCACGGAGUGCUCUUCCUUGCUGUUCUAAACAUCUCCCUACUCUACCUGCACCCUAGUUCCAGGAUGGGGCAAUGGAAUCGGUCAGAUUCACCCUUGGCUGGCUAUGUGGCUGUGGGUAAGCCAGUUAACUUCUCUAAGCCUCAGUUUACUCAUCUGGGAAAUGGGGACAACAACAGACCGUAUCUUGAGGGGAGAAUCAAGGGAGCAUUUCACAUGGCUUCAGGUAUGCCGUCAGGCUGUGGGUCCAUUUAAGCCUGGUGUAGAGUUUGGCACCCAGACAGGAAUGGGGUAGGCUUUAGCCUCCUGCCGACGAGGCCCUCAGCUUGAACAAUCCCAGGAGAAACACCUUCUUCCAGCCAACCUUGCGUCAGGGCCAGGGAAUGGGUGGGAUGGGAGCCAGAGGCUGCAAAGACAGUUGUCUCGAGCCUGAAAUACUUUUCUCCCCAAUGAUCUGUUUUCAAUUUCUCAUUCUUCACCCCCCCCCCCCUUUUAGAACCUGCCCUGCCAAGGAACAAGCAUGUUAGUGUGCGUCAGCCCCUAGCCCAGCCAGCAUCCCACCCUUGGGGAAUUUCUGCUUUAAAUAGUGAGGCAUGGGACCUUUCAAUAUGCCACGUGUGUUCCAGCCUCCACACCUUUGCAUGUGCUGUUCUUUUUCCCUACCGUGCUUUUCCCUGUCUCCUGGGUCUAUUCCGAUUUUGCUCAUCACCUGUCAAAGUUUGGCUGCAGGAACCUCUCCUGCCACAGCUCCUCUGAUUGCUCCCCCCACCCCCACUGUUAACACAUCUCCCCAGGUCUGCACACAUAUCUUGAUUUCUUGUGUCCUCUAGUGACCUAACACUUUUGAAAGCACAGCGUCAGCCGGUUCUUUGCAAAGUCUGAGGCUUUCAUGAAUCGAAGAGUGCUUUCAUCAUCCUCAUGUCAAUGGGAGGCGAUUGUUAUUGUCAUGUCCCUAUUUUCCAGAUGAGAAAAUGGAGCUCCUGAGAGCAGAAGUGUGUGGUCGCACAAAUGGGAAGUCAGGACCUCCGUAUCUGAGAACAGAGGCUCUUGCUAAGCCACCCUGCUGGGCUGAGCACGAACUUCUUACAGAAGCCUGACAUAUACACAAAACUGAGAGUUUAGCUGGUGAAUUUUCACAAAGUAAUCAGACUCCUGAAGCCAGUGCCAGAUCAACAGGACACUGCCAGCCCCUCAGAAGCCCCUUCACAGCCCACAAAGAGGAGCCAUCACCCUGACUUCUAACAUCACAGUUCUGGCUCAAGAUGGUGAUGUAGAAGGAUCCUGAACUCUCCUCCUCCCAGACACUGGAUAUACUGGAUAUGCAGCUACUUACAGAACAAUUAGCUGAAUGACUCCCACACAUUAGGCGAAGGAGAAAAAAACCCACAUCAAAGCAGGUAGGAGAGGCUGAGACACAUUCUCGCCACAAACCUCCCCCCUAGUGGGGAGACUCACAAUUGGGAGGGAACGCAAAAACUCUGAGCUUCUCCCUGAGGAGUGAGGGGUUUGAACUCUGCAUCUGGUACCCCAACUUUGAAGACCUGCCCCUGAAGUACCUUUAUCGCCUCCUUGAGAGGAGCCGGGAGCUGGGGCACCAGGACAGCUGGACAGAUAAACGUACAGCAACAGGACAGGUGGGGCCCAGGGUCGGGGGGGGGGCUCCUCCCUGCCCUUUAUCUGGCCUGGGCAGCCAGAGGUCACGGUCAGGGCUUUCUAUCGCUCCCUCAGGCCUUCUCCCAGCGUUUCCCUGUCCAGGACCCUUCAAGCAGACACCCAGCAAAGUGCUGUCCAAAAGCACCAGGACUGGUUUGACAAACAGAAUCUGCUCCAACCUGUCCACCAGCAAGCCCUCAGGUGUUCCUAUCUUUACUGUACGGAGAUAAUCAUACAUGUGCACAGAGGUGUGUGGACAGAGAUGUUCAUCACAGCAUUGUUUCUAACAGGGGAAAACUAGAAAGAACCCAAGUGCCCAGCAUGGAGGGACUGGUUACCAUACAACAGAAUGCAGUGGAAGAAUCUGACGCAGGCCUUAGAGCUCCCGCACCCCUGCUGGCCACCCUGCUGUCCCCCACCACCCCGACACCCCCUGGUUGCAUCUUACCGUCUAAGCGCACUAAACUCCUUAUGGUCCCCAAAUCCCCCCCGCGUUUCUGUCUUCUCAGAGGUUCCCACUUGCUGUUUCCUCUGCCCGCAAUGCCACUUCGUCUUUUUUUAAGAUAUUUUUUAAUCUAUGUUUAUUUUUUGAGAGAGAGACAGA